rnacentral:rRNA from 1 species
GAUGAACGCUGGCGGCGUGCCUAAUACAUGCAAGUCGAGCGAACGGACGAGAAGCUUGCUUCUCUGAUGUUAGCGGCGGACGGGUGAGUAACACGUGGAUAACCUACUUAUAAGACUGGGAUAACUUCGGGAAACCGGAGCUAAUACCGGAUAAUAUUUUGAACCGCAUGGUUCAAAAGUGAAAGACGGUCUUGCUGUCACUUAUAGAUGGAUCCGCGCUGCAUUAGCUAGUUGGUAAGGUAACGGCUUACCAAGGCAACGAUGCAUAGCCGACCUGAGAGGGUGAUCGGCCACACUGGAACUGAGACACGGUCCAGACUCCUACGGGAGGCAGCAGUAGGGAAUCUUCCGCAAUGGGCGAAAGCCUGACGGAGCAACGCCGCGUGAGUGAUGAAGGUCUUCGGAUCGUAAAACUCUGUUAUUAGGGAAGAACAUAUGUGUAAGUAACUGCGCACAUCUUGACGGUACCUAAUCAGAAAGCCACGGCUAACUACGUG